AAAGACUUAGUCCUAACCUUACCGUUAAUUUUUGCUAAAUAUAUACAUGCAAGUAUCUGCGCCCCAGUGUAAAUGCCCUUGAUCUCUUACUAAGAAGAAAGGAGCGGGUAUCAGGCACACCUAAACUGUAGCCCAAGACGCCUUGCUCAGCCACACCCUCACGGGUAUUCAGCAG
rnacentral:rRNA from 1 species